rnacentral:tRNA from 1 species
GAAUUUGGUUGAACCGACGAGGACUGCUAAUUACUCAUCAUCGUGGUUUAACUCCACGACAAAUUCG